rnacentral:rRNA from 1 species
UACGUAGGGGGCAAGCGUUGUCCGGAUUUAUUGGGCGUAAAGAGCGUGUAGGCGGCCAAGCAGGUCCGCUGUGAAAACUCGAGGCUCAACCUCGAGACGUCGGUGGAAACCGUUUGGCUAGAGUCCGGAAGAGGAGAGUGGAAUUCCCGGUGUAGCGGUGAAAUGCGCAGAUAUCGGGAAGAACACCAGUGGCGAAGGCGGCUCACUGGCCCGGAACUGACGCUGAGGUGCGAAAGCGUGGGGAGCAAACAGG